AGUUCAAGGCUCCGGGCUCCAACUGGAACCUGGCGUUGACCGCCUCGUUGCGACUCGCCUGGCCGCUGAGUUUAGCUGCGGGCUCCCUGCACCGGAAUCACAAGUAGUACCCUAAGGCCUACUUUCCUAAGGAUGAAAAUCAGGGCAUGGAAAUGAAGAACCCAGGUAUAAUUCUCACGUGCAGAUGCUGAGGACGUGGAGACGGUUCCUGGAAGGCAGUCAUUGCACAGUCAUCUACUUGCAUUUUCCAGUUCUCAGUAUCCUAAGGUCAAGUUUCCUAAAAAAUCAGAAUCGAGGCAUGGGGGUGAAGAAUGCAGCUGCAACAAGAAGAUGUGUGAAGAUGGUGAAAAGUGCUUUUCGUACAACCUGGUCAUUCCUUCAGCCUGAUCCUUGGCAGACAACUCCUGAUGUUGCAUGGACCACCUACCCGAGGAUGGCAUCACUCAUAGUGAGCUGGGUUUUCCUUCAUCAACAAACAGUCAAGAAAAUGCUAGACCAUUUGGGUUCCAUAAUGAAGGCAACGCCUCAGCUGAGGCCUCUUCCUUCCAGAAGACUCUGGUUUGUGUGCAGUUGACAAAAUCAACCCACACAUUAAUCAUCCAUUCCUAAACUUCAGUGGUUUCCAAUUUCAACCAUUUUCCUAAAUUUUGAUAGAUUCUAGGGGGGAGUUUCAUGAAUGUGUAGCAUAUGAGGUUGAACUUCUUUCAUUGUCUUCUGUAGUCAUGUUGUAGUUCUUAAUAUUUAAACAGAUCUCUUUGUGUUUUCAUCUUGCUAAAGACCAUCCAUGCAAAUUAGGUGGGCCAGUCCUCUUCAGACUGUCCAAGUGCUAGAUUCCCUUUCCUAUUGCAACCAUCCAUUCUUGGUUCCAUCUCUCAUGCCCCAGUGCUAUCCACAAGGCUUCACUGUGGUAUUACUUGUAAUAACCACCUCAGCAUCCUGUUGGAGAGUAAGAACAUGCGUUAUUAUGGUGCUCAAAUGGAUUUGUCUAUAGUUAUUUGUCUAUAUCUUAGAGCAACAUGAGAGGUUUCAAAAACCUUACCCAGUGGAUAAUAUGCACUAUGAGAUAAGAGACAUAGAACACUAAAGUUGACAGUUUAAAAUCAAUUCCAUAAAAUUGCACGUGCUUUUCCAGGCCAGAUAUAAACAAUAGGCUACCUGUGCACUAUUACACACAAAGAUAGCUUCUGGGGUGGCAAGGAGAUGUGAUGAAGAUAUGAAGGAGAAGUAAUAAAUAAUUGGGCAUGGUAGUAUUUACCUUUAAUCCCAGAACUCAGAAAAUAGAAUCAGGCAGAUCUCUAUGAAUCUGAGGUCUGUCUACCUACAUAGUGAGUUCCAAGCCAUCUGGGUCUAAAUAGCAAGACCUUAUCAAACUCAAUCAAUCAAUCAAUCAACCAAUCAAAGUGUACACACACAUUCACACACAAAAUAAGAGAGUCUGUGGCCUCAUGAUAAUAACCUAUCAUGAAUAAGAGUGUCAUUAGGUUACCUCUGUGAGCAACAAAUAAGUUGCCCCAAAAGAAGAAAAAGAAUAAAAAUUUUU
ensembl:processed_transcript